rnacentral:rRNA from 1 species
UUUUAAACAGCUGAUAGAGCCAACCCAUCUCUGUUGCAAAAGAGUGGGAUGAUUUUUAAGUAGAGGUGAAAAGCCUACCGAACUUAGAGAUAGCUGGUUAUUCAAGAAAAGAAUUUUAGUUCAGCCCUAAGUCUCUCAAUUAUGUAAAUAAACAGACUAGACUUAGGAACUACUCAAAUAAGGCACAGCUUAUUUGAUAAAGGAGACAACCUAUAAAAAAGGGUAAAACCCAUUACAUUAACCAAGUAGGCCCAAAAGCAGCCACCUUUAAGAAAGCGUUAAAGCUCUAUUAUUUAACCUACCAUAAUACCUAAACACAUUUUAAACCCUUUAUCCCUAUUGAAUGACUCUAUAAUAAUAUAGAAGCCCUAAUGCUAAAACUAGUAACAAGAAAUUGCAUUCUCCAAAAUACAAGCACAAACCAGAAUGGACAAACCACUGGUAGUUAACAUUAAUAAGCCUAAUAUAGCAACAAUCCAAGAAAACCCUAUAAUUUUUAGUGUUAACCUUACACAAGUGUAUUUCUGGAAAGAUUAAAAGAAAGGGAAGGAACUCGGCAAAUUUUAACCCCGCCUGUUUACCAAAAACAUCGCCUCUUGAAUAUCAUAAGAGGUCUAGCCUGCCCAGUGAUAUAUUAAACGGCCGCGGUACCCUGACCGUGCGAAGGUAGCAUAAUCACUUGUUCUCUAAAUAAGGACUAGUAUCAACGGCAUCACGAGGGUUACACUGUCUCCCCCUUCUAAUCAGUGAAACUGACUUUCCCGUGAAGAGGCGGGAAUUUCCAUACAAGACGAGAAGACCCCAUGGAGCUUUAAACCCAAAGGCAACCUUUAUUACAUCACUUUAAAAUUUCUAGGCUCCUGCCUAUUGGUUUUAGGUUGGGGUGACCACGGAGUAAAACCUAGCCUCCACGACGAAUAGAUUUCUUCAUCUUAAUCUUAGAGCCACCGCUCCAAGAAUCAAAAACUUGACGCAACCUGAUCCGAUUUCUCGAUCAACGAACCAAGUUACCCUGGGGAUAACAGCGCAAUCCAUUUUAAGAGCCCCUAUCGACAAAUGGGUUUACGACCUCGAUGUUGGAUCAGGGUAUCCCAGUGGUGCAGC